UUUUUUUUUUUUUUUUUUUCACCAUAUCAGAUCCUAAAUUUGCCAGUUUCAGCCAAGCUCCAACACUGGAUAGGUUGGCUGGUGAGAUAAAUAUGAGGCAAAUAGGUUAUAAAUAUAGUGUGGCUCCUGGCCAAUAAAAUAUAAAAUAAGUAAGCGUGGUAGUUACAAGAAAAAAUAAAUAUAGUCCAAGGCUCAAUCUUGCCUUAGCUUUAGAAAUUCAAUUGGGAGGAAGGGGAGGAAGUCUCACAUGAGUGAGGUUUUCAUCAAUCUGCAAAUGGGAACCUAGGCAAGAAUAUGAAUCCAGUCUUCUGGAACACUGCUUCAUGUUAAAUCUGAUCUUAAAAACUUCAUUGUAUAAAUGGAAUACAUUUUACACUCUCUGUAGGCUAACUAGACCUAUUCAACCUAUAUGGGGGGGGGGGUGGGUGGGAGUGGUUUAUAUUUUGCAAUUACAUCAAUAUUACCUUCAGCUGUGGAGGUGCAAAGUUUGUUUCUUGAAACACUCUCUUACACCCAUUCCCACAGAAUCUUUUUUUCCUGUUUUUUUUUUUUUCUUUUUUUCUUCCUUUGAUGUUUCUCUAAAAGCCUCAACCUAUAUAAAGCAUGUUACAAAAAAAGUUCUGGAAGUCUAUUAAUACAUUCCUGUUAGCGUUCUCUGCAUAUAUGUCACACUGAUCUUUAGGGCUGAAACACUGUUUUUAAUCUGCGCUCGUACAACACACAGUCUAGUGGAAUACCAAAGAUGAGUUUGUAAGCAGUCCUCAAAGCUCCCAGAGCACUCACCCAGCAGGCCCUCUACCUUACUGAUACCUGAUGCUCUGAAAAAUGUUCUCCUGAUUUCUAGCAAUUGUAUUUACAGAUGGAUUCCACUCUGUAAUAAUUGCCAUGGGUAAUUCCUCUUCAGUACUCCUUCUAGGAGCCCAGACUGGUGGUUGCUUUCCCUCGGUCCACGCCUGCAUCAUCUGUGUGGCUUGCAGACCAUGGGAGCCCCACCAGAGCCCAUGUGACAUCCAGUAAGCAGCCCUGGCCAACACUGUUCAAACCCCUUCCCUUGCCUCACUCCCUCAGCUACAACAGGUACAGCUUUUUGCAGGAGUGUGUUGUGAUCUGAAUAAGGGGUUAAAGAGUGUGGUUAAGGUUGGGUUGAAAAUGUUUACAGUUUUUUAAUUAAAUAGGACAUGAUUAUCAAAGUUAUUUUAAAAUUGCAGUCAUCUGCCCCAGCUGUUGCAUGUGGGUCAUCUUAUGGCUUCAGGGACAUCUGUGUAUAACUGAGAGGGUGGUGCAGAGGCAGAAUCUGCUGCUGAUAGAAAUGCCUGUGGAACGAUGAGCUUAGUGUCUUUACUGAGAGAGACGUGUUGACUUCUCUAGAGAGAUUAUGCCCUUGUUGUCAGCCUGCUUGCCAGUUGGCUGUUCCCUUUGUCUGGGCUUCUGCUAUUCAGGUAACAAGUGGUACAAAACUGUGGUUUAUUGUGUGCAGCACAUGAUCUCUGUUCUCUGCAGAUAAAUCAUUCUGACAUGAUGUAGCAGUAGCAAGCUGCUUAGCCCGAACAGCUUCUGUUAUCUAUUUCAGAAGCUUCAGUGGCCUUUAAGUAUUUCAUCACAAAUAAUUUCUGGCAAAUCCAUAAGAAUACCAAGCAAAAAGGAGGAGAGUGAAAGUCCUGAUUACUGUACUACAAUCAGAGAAACACCUUGAUGGGCAGUAUGAAACAUUCCUUAGCUCCUUCCUCAACCAGUAAACCCCUGAUUAUAAAUGACUCUUUAAAGGCUACAUUAGACAGACAUUACAUGAUCAGUUCACUUCCUUGCAUUACUCUGAGACUCUCCCUUCUCAUCAGGUGUGAAACCAUUAGCCAACCAAGCCUUCUAAAUUGUAUCACAGAAACAUUUCUUCUCAGCUAGUAACAAGUAGAUCUCUCAGAAGAAUUCCCAGGAUUAUCUGAUCCUACUCCUUUCACAGAAUUGAAACUCCUUUUUUUCUGAGAGGACUCAAGUACCAACUUCUUUCUCCUGGCCCAGCCUCCCUCUCCAGCUGUUGACUGUGAAAUUCUCCUUAUUUACCCAGCACUUUUACAGGGAUUGGUAAUGCAUCACUAUACUUACUUGCUCCCAACAUCUUUUCCCCUGGAAACUGACAGCAGGAGUCUUUCCACAGAAAAAUAUCUCUGUGAUGUUACAGCUGCAUAUCCAACUCCGUACUCUACUACUUUUCCUGUCUUCUCUCCCACAUGCAACUCCUUUCAGAAAUGACAACCUCAAAAGCAUAUCCUCUGUCAAGAAAAGUUACACAGUUACACCCUUUCCUCAGUGCAGAACAACACCAGUUGGCUCAGUUGGGAAACACUGCCUGAACAUCACAAGCUUUUGACUUGAAUGCAACUACGGAUUUCUUUCUGGAAU
rnacentral:lncRNA from 1 species